UAGGGAAAGCUCGCUUUUCUGAGACCGGCGCACGGGUGCGUAACGCGUAUGCAAUCUACCUUUCACAGAGGGAUAGCCCAGAGAAAUUUGGAUUAAUACCUCAUAGUAUUAUAGAAUGGCAUCAUUUUAUAAUUUAAAGAUUUAUCGGUGAAAGAUGAGCAUGCGUCCCAUUAGCUAGUUGGUAUGGUAACGGCAUACCAAGGCAACGAUGGGUAGGGGUCCUGAGAGGGAGAUCCCCCACACUGGUACUGAGACACGGACCAGACUCC
rnacentral:rRNA from 1 species